AACGAACGCUGGCGGCAUGCCUAACACAUGCAAGUCGAACGAGACCUUCGGGUCUAGUGGCGCACGGGUGCGUAACGCGUGGGAAUCUGCCCUUGGGUUCGGAAUAACAGUUAGAAAUGACUGCUAAUACCGGAUGAUGUCUUCGGACCAAAGAUUUAUCGCCCAGGGAUGAGCCCGCGUAGGAUUAGCUAGUUGGUGGGUAAAGGCCUACCAAGGCGACGAUCCUUAGCUGGUCUGAGAGGAUGAUCAGCCACACUGGGACUGAGACACGGCCCAGACUCCUACGGGAGGCAGCAGUGGGGAAUAUUGGACAAUGGGCGAAAGCCUGAUCCAGCAAUGCCGCGUGAGUGAUGAAGGCCUUAGGGUUGUAAAGCUCUUUUACCCGGGAUGAUAAUGACAGUACCGGGAGAAUAAGCCCCCGGCUAACUCCGUGCCAGCAGCCGCGGUAAU
rnacentral:rRNA from 1 species